rnacentral:lncRNA from 1 species
UCUGAUGUCUGUGUUCUGGUUGCGAGAUCGUGGGUUCGAGUCCCACCUCGUGUUUUGUUGCGAGAUCGUGGGUUCGAGUCCCACCUCGUGUUUUGUUGCGAGAUCGUGGGUUCGAGUCCCACCUCGUGUUUUGUUGCGAGAUCGUGGGUUCGAGUCCCACCUCGUGUUUUGUUGCGAGAUCGUGGGUUCGAGUCCCACCUCGCGUCUGGUCACGGGAUCGUGGGUUCGAGUCCCACCUCGUG